rnacentral:rRNA from 1 species
GGCUACGGCCAUACCACCCUGAACACGCCCGAUCUCGUCUGAUCUCGGAAGCUAAGCAGGGUCGGGCCUGGUCAGUACUGGAUGGAGACCGCCUGGAAUACCAGGUGCUGUAAGCU